CCCCCCCCCAGAAACAUUGUAGGUGUGGCUGCUGUGUCACAUGUACAGCAGUAGGGGGCAGAGAGGAGAGGGGCUACGUCUGUGUUGAGUGUUCUGAUCUAUGAACAGCUGAAUGAUUAGUAGCCUAGUAUU
ensembl:snoRNA LOC120102667 small nucleolar RNA SNORA17